UUGUUCACAAUGGGCGCAAGCCUGAUGACGCAACGCCGCGUGGAGGAUGAAGGUCUUCGGAUUGUAAACUCCUGUUGCCCGGGACGAACGGCUCUGACCUAACACGUCAGAGUGUGACGGUACCGGGUGAGGAAGCCCCGGCUAACUCUGUUCCAGCAGCCGCGGUAAUACAGAGGGGGCAAGCGUUGUUCGGAAUUACUGGGCGUAAAGGGCGCGUAGGCGGCCUGUUAAGUCGAACGUGAAAUCCCCGGGCUCAACCCGGGAACUGCGUCCGAUACUGGCAGGCUUGAAUCCGGGAGAGGGAUGUGGAAUUCCAGGUGUAGCGGUGAAAUGCGUAGAUAUCUGGAGGAACACCGGUGGCGAAGGCGGCAUCCUGGACCGGUAUUGACGCUGAGGCGCGAAAGCCAGGGGAGCAAACGGG
rnacentral:rRNA from 1 species